rnacentral:lncRNA from 1 species
GCAGCACACAUAUCUGGCACCUUGGCCAAGGCGGGGACAGCUGCUCAGAGGCCUUCUGGGGUCAGGAACUUACAUGGACCCUCAGGGCCUGCACAUGUGGUCAACGGAGACCCUGGAGUCUACGGUGCACUGGGCAAGCGCAGGUCUUUGUGGACCCCGCAGGGUGGAGGUAGGAGGGACCCAGAGACAAGGCCAGCACUUUCCGCCAGGCAGGGGUGAGGGCG